rnacentral:rRNA from 1 species
GCUGAACGCUGGCGGCGUGCCUAAUACAUGCAAGUCGAGCGAACAGACGAGGAGCUUGCUACUCUGACGUUAGCGGCGGAAGGGUGAGUAACACGUGGAUAACCUACCUAUAAGACUGGGUUAACUUCGGGAAACCGGAGCUAAUACCGGAUAAUAUAUUGAACCGCAUGGUUCCAUAGUGAAAGACGGUUUUGCUUUCACUUAUAGAUGGAUCCGCGCCGCAUUAGCUAGUUGGUAAGGUAACGGCUUACCAAGGCAACGAUGCGUAGACGACCUGAGAGGGUGAUCGACCACACUGGAACUGAGACACGGUCCAGACUCCUACGGGAGGCAGCAGUAGGGAAUCUUCCGCAAUGGGCGAAAGCCUGACGGAGCAACGCCGCGUGAGUGAUGAAGGUCUUCGGAUCGUAAAACUCUGUUAUUAGGGAAGAACAAAUGUGUAAGUAACUAUGCACGUCUUUACGGUACCUAAUCAGAAAGCCACGACUAACUACGUG